AAAAACAGUCCAAAUUACUGUCCACCAAGAUCCUUAGCUUACAAACUUUCAGCUAAAAAAAAUUAAAUUCCUGUAUCUUCACAAAAGUUUUAACCAACGUAAAUAAAUCCUCAUACCUCCAGUUAUAAUGGUAGCAUCUUUAAUAAACAUCUUAACAGAAAUAUUAAUAAACUUGAUAGAACUAUCCCAACACCAUUAGCAGAAGAAAAUUAAACAGGAGGAAGAAAAAAGUUAAAUUCAGGCAACAAUGGAUGACCUGGUAUAAUGACUGAGCUAUAUUUGGUGACAGCUUGGGGUGGGACAGCAGAAUUUUAAAAGAACUGCAUUUGCCAUUUUUAAAGAGCUUAGUUAUUAGUCGUCAAGAGGGUCUAGGUUCCAGAAAGGUCAUAUAGGGAUAAAAAUUUCAUCGAAGUAAUGGAGGAAUGGUUGGUGUUAGAAGAGCAAGCAUAGUCUUAAUGAUAAAGAUAACAUCACAUUGGAUGCUUCAGUGAAGGUCAAGCUUGCAAAGUCUGAUCCAUCCAGAAAUAGUGACCACAGAAGACAGUGUAGUCAAUUGAAGGGAACUACAUUUGUGGCAAGAAUUUAAGAAUUUGUUUUUCAACUUCCCAAUAUUCAGCUAGAAGCAAACAAAGCCGGAUGUUAGCAAGCCACACAAGCCACCUGGCACCUUGAGACGCUCUACCAAGCAAGAGCAGAGGAAGUUGUUGUUGAUGACGUUGCCAAGGGCUUCAGAAAUGGAAGUGCAAGAAGCGUGGGAGGCAAACUGGAUCACGGAUUUCAGAGAAACUGAAGGUGGAAGCAGAGAACAAAUGCUUUCCUGGUCAAUUAUGGAAGCGUCCGGUUCAUUUAAUCCGCUUUUGAAACUUUACUCUGCGGUCAAUUACGGAUUGCCUCGCUCCCCUCCUCCCCCCCGCAGAUCUGCAAGAGGGGAGACGCACCGGACAGAAGAGCCGCUCCCGUGCUCAGGCUCCGG